rnacentral:rRNA from 1 species
GUAGGUGGCAAGCGUUGUCCGGAAUUAUGGGCGUAAAGCGCGCGCAGGCGGUCCUUUAAGUCUGAUGUGAAAGCCCACGGGCUCAACCGUGGAGGGUCAUUGGAAACUGGGGGACUUGAGUACAGAAGAGGAAAGCGGAAUUCCAAGUGUAGCGGUGAAAUGCGUAGAGAUUUGGAGGAACACCAGUGGCGAAGGCGGCUUUCUGGUCUGUAACUGACGCUGAGGCGCGAAAGCGUGGGGAGCAAACAGGAUUAGAUACCCUGGUAGUCCACGCCGUAAACGAUGAGUGCUAAGUGUUAGGGGGUUUCCGCCCCUUAGUGCUGCAGCUAACGCAUUAAGCACUCCGCCUGGGGAGUACGGCCGCAAAGGCUG